CAUUUCAACCCUCAAGCUCAGCUUGGUGAUGGGCGAUCGUCCCGCCGCUCGCGCGUGGACCCGCCUCGAAAGCAUUGGCGGCCGGUACGUUGGCUUCGAGCGCAGCACAUUAGCGCCUCGAGCCCGGCGGACUGGCCCUCCAUCAAGCCGAACCCCACAGCUUUGACCUCGGAUCAGGUAGGGAUACCCGCUGAACUUAA
rnacentral:misc_RNA from 1 species